rnacentral:rRNA from 1 species
GUCCACGCCGUAAACGAUGUCUACUAGUUGUCGGGAGACCUGUUCUUUUGGUAACGAAGCUAACGCGAUAAGUAGACCGCCUGGGGAGUACGGCCGCAAGGUUAAAACUCAAAUGAAUUGACGGGGGCCCGCACAAGCGGUGGAGCAUGUGGUUUAAUUCGAAGCAACGCGAAGAACCUUACCUACUCUUGACAUCCUGCGAACUUGGUAGAGAUACCUUGGUGCCUUCGGGAACGCAGUGACAGGUGCUGCAUGGCU